rnacentral:rRNA from 1 species
GACGAACGCUGGCGGCGUGCUUAACACAUGCAAGUCGAACGGUAAGGCCCUUCGGGGUACACGAGUGGCGAACGGGUGAGUAACACGUGGGUGAUCUGCCCUGCACUUUGGAUAAGCCUGGGAAACUGGGUCUAAUACCGGAUAGGACCAUGGACUUCACGGUUUGUGGUGGAAAGCUUUUGCGGUGUGGGGUGGGCCCGCGGCCUAUCAGCUUGUUGGUGGGGUAAUGGCCUACCAAGGCGACGACGGGUAGCCGGCCUGAGAGGGUGUCCGGCCACACUGGGACUGAGAUACGGCCCAGACUCCUACGGGAGGCAGCAGUGGGGAAUAUUGCACAAUGGGCGCAAGCCUGGUGCAGCGACGCCGCGUGGGGGAUGACGGCCUUCGGGUUGUAAACCUCUUUCAGUAGGGACGAAGCGCAAGUGACGGUACCUACAGAAGAAGCACCGGCCAACUACGUGCCAGCCGCCGCGGUAA